rnacentral:rRNA from 4 species
GUUAUAUGGUCAAGCGAAUAAGCGCACACGGUGGAUGCCUAGGCGGUCAGAGGCGAUGAAGGACGUGGUAGCCUGCGAAAAGUGUCGGGGAGCUGGCAACAAGCUUUGAUCCGGCAAUAUCCGAAUGGGGAAACCCACUGCUUCGGCAGUAUCCUGCAGUGAAUUCAUAGCUGCUGGAAGCGAACCCGGUGAACUGAAAUAUCUAAGUAACCGGAGGAAAAGAAAUCAACCGAGAUUCCCUAAGUAGUGACGAGCGAACGGGGAACAGCCCUUAAGCUGGAAUGGCUUUAGAAAAACAAUCUGGAAAGAUUGGCCAUAGAAGGUGAUAGCCCUGUAUUUAAAAGGGCCACUCCAGUGAAGACGAGUAGGGCGGGGCACGUGAAACCCUGUCUGAAUAUGGGGGGACCAUCCUCCAAGGCUAAAUACUCCUGACCGACCGAUAGUGAACCAGUACCGUGAGGGAAAGGCGAAAAGAACCCCGGAGAGGGGAGUGAAAUAGAUCCUGAAACCGUGUGCGUACAAGCAGUAGGAGCUCGCAAGAGUGACUGCGUACCUUUUGUAUAAUGGGUCAGCGACUUACUGUUCGUGGCAAGCUUAACCGUAUAGGGGAGGCGAAGGGAAACCGAGUCUGAUAAGGGCGCAUAGUCGCGGGCAGUAGACCCGAAACCGGGUGAUCUAGUCAUGGCCAGGGUGAAGGUGCCGUAACAGGUACUGGAGGCCCGAACCCACGUCUGUUGCAAAAGACGGGGAUGAGCUGUGAUUAGGAGUGAAAAGCUAAUCGAACCCGGAGAUAGCUGGUUCUCCUCGAAAGCUAUUUAGGUAGCGCCUCGGACGAAUACUACUGGGGGUAGAGCACUGUUAUGGCUAGGGGGUCAUCGCGACUUACCAAACCAUUGCAAACUCCGAAUACCAGUACGUACUAUCCGGGAGACACACGGCGGGUGCUAACGUCCGUCGUGAAAAGGGAAACAACCCAGACCCACAGCUAAGGUCCCAAAUUCACUGCUAAGUGGAAAACGAUGUGGAAAGGCAUAGACAGCCAGGAGGUUGGCUUAGAAGCAGCCACCCUUUAAAGAAAGCGUAAUAGCUCACUGGUCGAGUCGGUCUGCGCGGAAGAUUUAACGGGGCUAAGCAGUGAACCGAAGCUUGGGGUGCGUAAAACUUCGGUUUUAUGCGCGGUAGAGGAGCGUUCCGUAAGCCUGCGAAGGUGGAUUGAGAAGUCCGCUGGAGGUAUCGGAAGUGCGAAUGCUGACAUGAGUAACGAUAAUGCGGGUGAAAAGCCCGCACGCCGAAAGCCCAAGGUUUCCUUGCGCAACGUUAAUCGACGCAGGGUUAGUCGGUCCCUAAGGCGAGGGCGAAAGCCGUAGUCGAUGGGAAGCAGGUUAAUAUUCCUGCACCUCGCGUGAGUGCGAUGGAGGGACGGAGAAGGUUAGGUGUACCGGGCGUUGGUUGUCCCGGGGAAAGGCGGUAGGUUUGGAUCUUUGGCAAAUCCGGGAUCCUUUAAGACCGAGCACCGAGACGAGCCUUUAUGGCGAAGUCACUGAUACCACGCUUCCAGGAAAAGCUCCUAAGCUUCAGCUCACGAAGACCGUACCGUAAACCGACACAGGUGGGUAGGAUGAGAAUUCUCAGGCGCUUGAGAGAACUCGGGUGAAGGAACUAGGCAACAUGGCACCGUAACUUCGGGAGAAGGUGCACCCUUUUUGGUGGCUCAUGCGAGCUAUAGCUGAAGAGGGUCGCAGAAACCAGGCCGCUGCGACUGUUUAUCAAAAACACAGCACUCUGCAAACACGAAAGUGGACGUAUAGGGUGUGACGCCUGCCCGGUGCUGGAAGGUUAAUUGAUGGGGUCAGCCGCAAGGCGAAGCUCUUGAUCGAAGCCCCAGUAAACGGCGGCCGUAACUAUAACGGUCCUAAGGUAGCGAAAUUCCUUGUCGGGUAAGUUCCGACCUGCACGAAUGGCGUAACGACAGCGGCGCUGUCUCCACCCGAGACUCAGUGAAAUUGAAAUCGCUGUGAAGAUGCAGCGUUCCCGUGGCAAGACGGAAAGACCCCGUGAACCUUUACUAUAGCUUUACACUGAACGUUGAGUUCGUCUGUGUAGGAUAGGUGGGAGGCUAUGAAACUGUGGCGCUAGCUGCAGUGGAGCCAUCCUUGAAAUACCACCCUGUCGUGCUUGACGUUCUAACCUAGAUCCGUUAUCCGGAUCAGGGACCGUGUAUGGUGGGUAGUUUGACUGGGGCGGUCUCCUCCUAAAGAGUAACGGAGGAGCACGAAGGUACGCUCAGCGCGGUCGGACAUCGCGCACUGUGUGCAAAGGCAUAAGCGUGCUUGACUGCAAGAUCGACGGAUCAAGCAGGUACGAAAGUAGGUCUUAGUGAUCCGGUGGUUCUGUAUGGAAGGGCCAUCGCUCAACGGAUAAAAGGUACUCCGGGGAUAACAGGCUGAUACCGCCCAAGAGUUCAUAUCGACGGCGGUGUUUGGCACCUCGAUGUCGGCUCAUCACAUCCUGGGGCUGUAGUCGGUCCCAAGGGUAUGGCUGUUCGCCAUUUAAAGUGGUACGCGAGCUGGGUUCAGAACGUCGUGAGACAGUUCGGUCCCUAUCUGCCAUGGGCGUUGGAAGUUUGAGAGGGGCUGCUCCUAGUACGAGAGGACCGGAGUGGACGAACCUCUGGUGUUCCGGUUGUCACGCCAGUGGCAUUGCCGGGUAGCUAUGUUCGGAAGCGAUAACCGCUGAAAGCAUCUAAGCGGGAAGCGCGCCUCAAGAUGAGACUUCCCGGGGCACAAGCCCCCUAAAGGAACCAUAUAGACUAUGUGGUUGAUAGGUCAGGUGUGUAAGUACAGCAAUGUAUUGAGCUAACUGAUACUAAUGAUCCGUGCGGCUUGACCAUAUAACCU